GGAUGUGAGGGCGAUCUGGCUACGACAUCUCUCACCCCGUUGAUCACCAAGCUUGAUUUGGCUGAUCUGGCUGGCUAGGCUGGUGUCCCCUUCCUCCCUCACUGCUCCAUGUGUGUCCCUCCCGAAGCUGCACGCUCGGUCGAAGAGGACGACUGUCCCGACUAGAGGAGGACCCAUCUUCGGUCAAGGGUGUAGGAGUAGCUGUGCUCCCCUGGUAGAACCUCCAAACAAGCUCUCAACAUCUAAUGGGACUGAUAGAAUGAAUAGUCCUACGUCUUAUUAUUG
rnacentral:snRNA from 1 species